rnacentral:rRNA from 1 species
CCCUUAGAUGUCCGGGGCCGCACGCGCGCUACACUGAAGGAAUCAGCGUGGCUUUCUCCCUGACCCGAAAGGGUUGGGAAACCCGUUGAAUCUCCUUCGUGAUAGGGUUGGGGCUUGAAAUUGUUCCCCAUGAACGAGGAAUUCCCAGUAAGCGCGAGUCAUAAGCUCGCGUUGAUUACGUCCCUGCCCUUUGUACACACCGCCCGUCGCUACUACCGAUUGAACGGUUUAGUGAGGGCCUCGGAUUGGUCUCGGCCCGCUCUUUACCGGGCGGCGCCGUUGGUCGAGAAGACGCUCGAACUUGAUCGUUUAGAGGAAGUAAAAGUCGUAACA